AUGCUUGGUUAGGCAGCACAUAUACUGACAUUGGAACGAUACAGAGAAUUAUCAUGGCCCCCAUGCAAGAAUGACAUGCAAACUCAGGAAGUGUUACAUCUGUUU
ensembl:snRNA U6 U6 spliceosomal RNA